rnacentral:rRNA from 1 species
AUUGAACGCUGGCGGCAUGCCUUACACAUGCAAGUCGAACGGCAGCACGGGGGCAACCCUGGUGGCGAGUGGCGAACGGGUGAGUAAUACAUCGGAAUGUACCCAGUAGUGGGGGAUAACUAGUCGAAAGAUUAGCUAAUACCGCAUACGCACUAUGGUGGAAAGCGGGGGAUCGCAAGACCUUGCGCUAUUAGAUGAGCUUGCGUCCGAUUAGCUAGUUGGUGGGGUAAAGGCCUACCAAGGCGACGAUCGGUAACUGGUCUGAGAGGAUGAUCAGUCACACUGGAACUGAGACACGGUCCAGACUCCUACGGGAGGCAGCAGUGGGGAAUAUUGGACAA